rnacentral:rRNA from 1 species
GACGAACGCUGGCGGCGUGCUUAACACAUGCAAGUCGAACGGAAAGGCCCUGCUUUUGUGGGGUGCUCGAGUGGCGAACGGGUGAGUAACACGUGAGUAACCCGCCCUUGACUUUGGGAUAACUUCAGGAAACUGGGGCUAAUACCGGAGAGGAGCUCCUGCUGCAUGGUGGGCGUUGGAAAGUUUCGGCGGUUGUGGAUCGAUUCGCGGCUUACCAGCUGGUUGGUGGAGUAGUUGCCUACCAAGGCUUUGACGGGUAGCCGGCCUGGGAGCGGAGACAGGGACAAGAGUACUACGGUAGGGACCAGACGCGUACGGGAGGCAGUGGUGGAGAGUAUUGCACAGCGAGGGCGAGUGUGAGGCGGAGGUGCUCCGAGCGUGAUGCCCGCCUUCGGGUGAUAAACCGCUGUCGCCUGUGACGAAGCGUGAGUGACGGUAAUGAGUAAAGAAGCACCGGCUAACUACGUG